GAUGAACGCUGGCGGCGUGCCUAAUACAUGCAAGUCGAGCGAACAGACGAGGAGCUUGCUCCUCUGACGUUAGCGGCGGACGGGUGAGUAACACGUGGAUAACCUACCUAUAAGACUGGGAUAACUUCGGGAAACCGUAGCUAAUACCGGAUAAUAUAUUGAACCGCAUGGUUCAAUAGUGAAAGACGGUUUUGCUGUCACUUAUAGAUGGAUCCGCGCCGCAUUAGCUAGUUGGUAAGGUAACGGCUUACCAAGGCAACGAUGCGUAGCCGACCUGAGAGGGUGAUCGGCCACACUGGAACUGAGACACGGUCCAGACUCCUACGGGAGGAAGCAGUAGGGAAUCUUCGGCAAAGGGCGAAAGCCUGACGGAGCAACGCCGCGUGAGUGAUGAAGGUCUUCGGAUCGUAAAACUCUGUUAUUAGGGAAGAACAAAUGUGUAAGUAACUAUGCACGUCUUGACGGUACCUAAUCAGAAAGCCACGGCUAACUACGUG
rnacentral:rRNA from 1 species